CUAGUACUCCCUUCGUUCGGAAUUACUUGUCUCGGAAAUGAAUGUAUCUAGAACUAAAAUACAUCUAGAUACAUCCAUUUUCGCGACAAGUAAUUCCGAACGGAGGGAGUAGUUA
rnacentral:pre_miRNA from 1 species